rnacentral:rRNA from 1 species
GGGGUGCUCGAGUGGCGAACGGGUGAUAACACGUGAGUAACCUGCCCUUGACUUUGGGAUAACUUCAGGAAACUGGGGCUAAUACCGGAUAGGAGCUCCUGCUGCAUGGUGGGGGUUGGAAAGUUUCGGCGGUUGGGGAUGGACUCGCGGCUUAUCAGCUUGUUGGUGGGGUAGUGGCUUACCAAGGCUUUGACGGGUAGCCGGCCUGAGAGGGUGACCGGCCACAUUGGGACUGAGAUACGGCCCAG